CCUACGGGUGGCUGCAGUGGGGAAUAUUGCACAAUGGGCGCAAGCCUGAUGCAGCCAUGCCGCGUGUGUGAAGAAGGCCUUCGGAUUGUAAAGCACUUUCAGCGGGGAGGAAGGCGGUGAGGUUAAUAACCUCAUCGAUUGACGUUACCCGCAGAAGAAGCACCGGCUAACUCCGUGCCAGCAGCCGCGGUAAUACGGAGGGUGCAAGCGUUAAUCGGAAUUACUGGGCGUAAAGCGCACGCAGGCGGUCUGUCAAGUCGGAUGUGAAAUCCCCGGGCUCAACCUGGGAACUGCAUUCGAAACUGGCAGGCUAGAGUCUUGUAGAGGGGGGUAGAAUUCCAGGUGUGGCGGUGAAAUGCGUAGAGAUCUGGAGGAAUGCCGGUGGCGAAGGCGGCCCCCUGGACAAAGACUGACGCUCAGGUGCGAAAGCGUGGGGAGCAGACAGGAUUAGAUACCCCAGUAGUC
rnacentral:rRNA from 1 species